rnacentral:rRNA from 1 species
GUUGAACGCUGGCGGCGUGCCUAAUACAUGCAAGUCGAGCGAACGGACGAGAAGCUUGCUUCUCUGAUGUUAGCGGCGGACGGGUGAGUAACACGUGGAUAACCUACCUAUAAGACUGGGAUAACUUCGGGAAACCGGAGCUAAUACCGGAUAAUUUUUUGAACCGCAUGGUUCAAAAGUGAAAGACGGUCUUGCUGUCACUUAUAGAUGGAUCCGCGCUGCAUUAGCUAGUUGGUAAGGUAACGGCUUACCAAGGCAACGAUGCAUGGCCGACCUGAGAGGGUGAUCGGCCACACUGGAACUGAGACACGGUCCAGACUCCUACGGGAGGCAGCAGUAGGGAAUCUUCCGCAAUGGGCGAAAGCCUGACGGAGCAACGCCGCGUGAGUGAUGAAGGUCUUCGGAUCGUAAAACUCUGUUAUUAGGGAAGAACAUAUGUGUAAGUAACUGUGCACAUCUUGACGGUACCUAAUCAGAAAGCCACGGCUAACUACGUG